rnacentral:rRNA from 1 species
AGAGUUUGAUCCUGGCUCAGAACUAACGCUGGCGGCGUGCCUAACACAUGCAAGUCGUACGGGAAAGCCGGCUUCGGCUGGUGAGUAAAGUGGCGCACGGGUGAGUAACGCGUGGAUAAUCUGCCUUUAAGUGUGGAAUAACGUACCGAAAGGUGCGCUAAUACCGCAUAAUGCCUGGCAACACAAGUUGUCCGGCCAAAGAAGGCCUCUGUUUACAAGCUUUCGCUUCAGGACGAGUCCGCGUACCAUUAGCUUGUUGGUGGGGUAAUGGCCUACCAAGGCUGCGAUGGUUAGCUGGUCUGAGAGGAUGAUCAGCCACACUGGAACUGAGACACGGUCCAGACUCCUACGGGAGGCAGCAGUGAGGAAUAUUGCGCAAUGGGGGCAACCCUGACGCAGCAACGCCGCGUGAGUGAGGAAGGUUUUCGGACCGUAAAGCUCUGUCGAGUGGGAAGAAGUGUAUCAUGGCUAAUAUCCGUGAUAUUUGACGGUACCGCUAGAGGAAGCACCGGCUAACUCCGUGCCAGCAGCCGCGGUAAUACGGGGGGUGCAAGCGUUGUUCGGAAUUAUUGGGCGUAAAGAGCGUGUAGGCGGCCGAGCAAGUCAGAUGUGAAAUCCCCGGGCUUAACCCGGGAAGUGCAUUUGAAACUGCUAGGCUUGAGUAGGGGAGAGGAAAGUGGAAUUCCUGGUGUAGAGAUGAAAUUCGUAGAUAUCAGGAGGAACACCGGUGGCGAAGGCGACUUUCUGGCCCUAUACUGACGCUGAGACGCGAGAGCGUGGGUAGCAAACAGGAUUAGAUACCCUGGUAGUCCACGCCGUAAACGAUGUUCACUAGGUGUUGGGGGUAUUGACCCUCUCAGUGCCGCAGCUAACGCAUUAAGUGAACCGCCUGGGGAGUACGGUCGCAAGAUUAAAACUCAAAGGAAUUGACGG